rfam:Pteropus alecto contig81629, whole genome shotgun sequence.
GGCUCCAUAGUGUAGUGGUUAGCACAUCUGCUUUACACGCAGAAAGUCCUGGGUUUGAGCCCCAGGUGGAGCCA